UUGACUUGCGGAGUCGGUUAAUUUCUUGAUUUAGAAGCCUAUAUUAGAAAUAUUGAUAAAACUUUGAAUUUUGUGAAAGUGAUCCCGGAUCUGUAUUUUGAUGAAUCUAUAGCUUCUUAUUGUAACUUCGGACUUGAGCGUAUGCCCGGAUAUGAUUUUCAAGCCAUGAAAUGGUAUCCUCAGACCAUGAGUAUGGUGCCGUUGGACUAUAUUCCCUUUAUAAAUGAUGUGCAAUUUUGAGAUCCUCAAACCAUGGAAUGUUAUCCUCAAGCUAGGAAGAUGAUUUUAUCAGACUAUGAUACAUUCGGAUAAUUUGGCAAUAUUUCAACUCAUUAAAUGCAAGGAUGUGGCGAUACUUAACUGUUCGACAAAGAAGAUACACAUUGCUUAGUCGUAUGUAGAUGACGAAGGUAGUUCUUAGUUUUAUGCAAGAAUGGAAGAAGGCCCCGCUUAACCUUUUGCGAGUAUGGAAGUCGUGCUUUGGCUGAUGCAGCAGUCGGGGAAAUACAUAGCCCUCAUGCAAGUGCGGAGCCAAAAAUUAGCCUCAUGCAAAUAUGAGGGCAGUGCUUAGCCCUAUGCGGGUAAUAAGGUCAGUACUUAGCCCUAUGCAGGUAAUGAUGACAGUGAUCAGCUCUACGCAGAGUAAGGCAAUACCCAGCCUUACACAAUGAUAGAGGUAGA
rnacentral:lncRNA from 1 species